AUGUGCCCUGACCAUUAUUUGAACCUGUGAACUGGCUUGUGCUCAAUCCACUGAACUAUACAAGCCAGGCAGAAAAGUUCAACAUUUUAUAAAGGAUAUCAAAAGCUGUACUCCACUUACUGACUUUGAUCCACCAUCUCCAGAAUUACCAGAAGUACAUAUUUUAAGGAGAAAAGCAAGCUAUAUUACCAAGUUCACCCCUGAUUUUGCUCCCUUCCAGCACCUCUGUCUGCCUGUUUAUCAGACCAGAUGAGAAAAAAUGGACUUCCAAGUUGGAGUCCACACAAGCCUCAGAAGAUAGGAGACAAACCCUAUAUAGAUUUACCUACAAAAUGAAUAGAAAAUUAUGAGACCAGUGGUCAGGGGUAGGCUGAGACAUCCCACC